GUAGGUGGCAAGCGUUGUCCGGAAUUAUUGGGCGUAAAGCGCGCGCAGGCGGUUCGUUUAAGUCUGAUGUGAAAGCCCACGGGCUCAACCGUCGGGGGGGUCAUUGGAAACUGGAGAACUUGAGUACAGAAGAGGAAAGCGGAAUUCCACGUGUAGCGGUGAAAUGCGUAGAGAUGUGGAGGAACACCAGUGGCGAAGGCGGCUUUCUGGUCUGUAACUGACGCUGAGGCGCGAAAGCGUGGGGAGCAAACAGGAUUAGAUACCCUGGUAGUCCACGCCGUAAACGAUGAGUGCUAAGUGUUAGGGGGGUUUCCGCCCCUUAGUGCUGCAGCUAACGCAUUAAGCACUCCGCCUGGGGAGUACGGCCGCAAAGGCUG
rnacentral:rRNA from 1 species